rnacentral:rRNA from 1 species
UACGUAGGAGCCGAGCGUUGUCCGGAUUUACUGGGCGUAAAGCGCGCGCAGGCGGCUGUGCACGUCCGAUGUGAAAGCUCCCGGCUUAACUGGGAAAUUGCAUCGGAAACUGAUCGGCUGGAAGGUGGGAGAGGGUAGCGGAAUUCCCGGUGUAGUGGUGAAAUGCGUAGAUAUCGGGAGGAACACCAGUGGCGAAAGCGGCUACCUGGCCCAUUCUUGACGCUGAGGCGCGAAAGCUAGGGGAGCAAACGGG